rnacentral:lncRNA from 1 species
CAUCUACGGAGCCAAACAGAAAACAUAGGUAUGGGGACUGGGAAGCCCACUUUGGGAUGUAGCUUAAUAGCAUGAUGUUAAAAAACACAUACACAUUUUUUUGUAUAUUUGUUGAUUAAUUGUAUAUCCUCUUCUGAGAAGGGUCUGUUCAGGUUCUUGGCCCAUUCAUUGACUGGAUUAUUUGCUUUUUGGGUGCUAAUCUUGUUGAGCUCUUUAUAUAACCUAGAGAUUAGAGCUCUAUCUGAUGUUUGAGGGGUAAAAAUUUGUUCCCAGGAUGUAGGCUCCCUAUUCACCUCACAUAUUGUUUCUUUUGAUGAGAAAAAACUUUUUAGUUUGAAUCCAUCCCAUUUGUUGAUUCUUGGUUUUAAUUCUUGUGCUAUAGGCAUCUUAUUAAGGAAAUUGGGGCAUAGCCCCAUGUGAUGGAGAUUAGGGCCUACUUUUUCUUCUAUUAGAUGCAGAGUCUCUGGUUUAAUUCCUAGAUCCUUGAUCCAUUUUGAGUUAACUUUUAUGCAUGGUGAGAGAUAGGGAUUCAAUUUCACUUUGUUGCAUAUGGAUUUCCAGUUUUCCCAGCACCAUUUGUUGAAGAUGCUAUCCUUUCUCCAGUGCAUGCUCUAAUAUAAGGUAGUUGUAAUUUUGUGAGUUAGUCUCUGUGUCCUCUAUUCUGUACCAUUGGUCUACCAGCCUGUUUUGUUGCCAGUACCAUGCUGUUUUUAUUACUAUUGCUCUGUAGUAUAGUAUAAGGUUUGGUAUAGCGAUACCACCUGUUUCACUCUUCCUGCUUAGAAUUACUUUAGCUAUUCUGGGUCUCUUAUUUUUUCCAGAUGAAUUUCAUGAUUGCUUUUUCUAUUUCUAUAAGGAAUCAGAGAAAUGCAAAUUACAACUACUCUAAGAUACCAUCUCACUCCAGUAAGAAUGGCAGCCAUUAUGAAGACAAACAACAACAAGUGCUGGCGAGGAUACAGGGAAAAAGGUACACUCAUUCACUGCUGGUGGGAUUGCAAACUG